UCCGGUGAUAAUGGCGGGGAGGAUCCACCUGUACCCAUCUCGAACACAGAAGUUAAGCUCCCCAGCGCCGAAGAUACUUGGCGGGAGGCUGCCUGGGAAAAUAGGACAUUGCCGGUU
rnacentral:rRNA from 2 species